GAUGAACGCUGGCGGCGUGCCUAAUACAUGCAAGUCGAGCGAACAGACGAGGAGCUUGCUCCUCUGACGUUAGCGGCGGACGGGUGAGUAACACGUGGAUAACCUACCUAUAAGACUGGGAUAACUUCGGGAAACCGGAGCUAAUGCCGGAUAAUAUAUUGAACCGCAUGGUUCAAUAGUGAAAGACGGUUUUGCUGUCGCUUAUAGAUGGAUCCGCGCCGCAUUAGCUAGUUGGUAAGGUAACGGCUUACCAAGGCAACGAUGCGUAGCCGACCUGAGAGGGUGAUCGGCCACACUGGAACUGAGACACGGUCCAGACUCCUACGGGAGGCAGCAGUAGGGAAUCUUCCGCAAUGGGCGAAAGCUUGACGGAGCAACGCCGCGUGAGUGAUGAAGGUCUUCGGAUCGUAAAACUCUGUUAUUAGGGAAGAACAAAUGUGUAAGUAACUAUGCACGUCUUGACGGUACCUAAUCAGAAAGCCACGGCUAACUACGUG
rnacentral:rRNA from 1 species